rnacentral:rRNA from 1 species
CCCAAAAUCCAUGAUCCUAUGCUGCCGAGAAAAGCCUCUAGCGAGCUGGUACAUGGCCCGUACCCCAAACCGACACAGGUGGUCAGGUAGAGAAUACUAAGGCGAUCGAGAGAACUGUGGUUAAGGAACUCGGCAAAAUGCCCCCGUAACUUCGGGAGAAGGGGGACCAGUCCUGGUGACGACAUUUACUGUCUGAGCUGGGGUUGGUCGCAGAGACCAGAGAGAAGCGACUGUUUACUAAAAACACAGGUCCGUGCGAAGUCGUAAGACGAUGUAUACGGACUGACGCCUCCCCGGUGCUGGAAGGUUAAGAGGACCGGUCAGCCACUUCGGUGGCGAAGCUGAGAAUUUAAGCCCCAGUAAACGGCGGUGGUAACUAUAACCAUCCUAAGGUAGCGAAAUUCCUUGUCGGGUAAGUUCCGACCUGCACGAAUGGCGUAACGACUUCUCUGCUGUCUCAACCACAGACUCGGCGAAAUUGCAGUACGAGUAAAGAUGCUCGUUACGCGCGGCAGGACGAAAAGACCCCGGGACCUUCACUAUAGCUUGGUAUUGGUGUUCGGUUCGGUUUGUGUAGGAUAGGUGGGAGACUGUGAAACUCGCACGCCAGUGUGGGUGGAGUCAUUGUUGAAAUACCACUCUGACCGUAUUGGACAUCUAACCUCGGACCAUGAUCUGGUUCAGGGACAGUGCCUGGUGGGUAGUUUAACUGGGGCGGUUGCCUCCCAAAAAGUAACGGAGGCGCCCAAAGGUUCCCUCAGCCUGGUUGGCAAUCAGGUGUUGAGUGUAAGUGCACAAGGGAGCUUGACUGUGAGACGUACAUGUCGAGCAGGGACGAAAGUCGGGACUAGUGAUCCGGCACCGGCAAGUGGAAGCGGUGUCGCUCAACGGAUAAAAGGUACCCCGGGGAUAACAGGCUGAUCUUCCCCAAGAGUCCAUAUCGACGGGAUGGUUUGGCACCUCGAUGUCGGCUCGUCGCAUCCUGGGGCUGGAGUAGGUCCCAAGGGUUGGGCUGUUCGCCCAUUAAAGCGGCACGCGAGCUGGGUUUAGAACGUCGUGAGACAGUUCGGUCUCUAUCCGCCGCGCGCGUAAGAAACUUGAGGAAACCUGUCCCUAGUACGAGAGGACCGGGACGGACGAACCUCUGGUGUGCCAGUUGUUCCACCAGGAGCACCGCUGGUUAGCUACGUUCGGAAGGGAUAACCGCUGAAAGCAUCUAAGCGGGAAGCCUGUUCCAAGAUGAGGUUUCUCACCACCUAGCGUGGUUAAGGCCCCCCACAGACCAUGGGGUUGAUAGGCCAGAACUGUAAGCACAGCAAUGUGUUCAGGUGACUGGUACUAAUCGGCCGAGGACUUAC